AACGAACGCUGGCGGCAUGCCUAACACAUGCAAGUCGAACGAGACCUUCGGGUCUAGUGGCGCACGGGUGCGUAACGCGUGGGAAUCUGCCCUUGGGUUCGGAAUAACAGUUAGAAAUGACUGCUAAUACCGGAUAAUGUCUUCGGACCAAAGAUUUAUCGCCCAGGGAUGAGCCCGCGUAGGAUUAGCUAGUUGGUGAGGUAAAGGCUCACCAAGGCGACGAUCCUUAGCUGGUCUGAGAGGAUGAUCAGCCACACUGGGACUGAGACACGGCCCAGACUCCUACGGGAGGCAGCAGUGGGGAAUAUUGGACAAUGGGCGAAAGCCUGAUCCAGCAAUGCCGCGUGAGUGAUGAAGGCCUUAGGGUUGUAAAGCUCUUUUACCCGGGAUGAUAAUGACAGUACCGGGGGAAUAAGCCCCGGCUAACUCCGUGCCAGCAGCCGCGGUAAU
rnacentral:rRNA from 1 species